CCUACGGGGAGCAGCAGUGGGGAAUAUUGGACAAUGGGCGAAAGCCUGAUCCAGCCAUGCCGCGUGUGUGAAGAAGGCCUUCGGGUUGUAAAGCACUUUCAGUGGGGAAGAAAGCCUUGGGGCUAAUACCCUCGAGGAAGGACAUCACCCACAGAAGAAGCACCGGCUAACUCCGUGCCAGCAGCCGCGGUAAUACGGAGGGUGCGAGCGUUAAUCGGAAUUACUGGGCGUAAAGCGCGCGUAGGCGGUCUGAUAAGCCGGUUGUGAAAGCCCCGGGCUCAACCUGGGAACGGCAUCCGGAACUGUCAGGCUAGAGUGCAGGAGAGGAAGGUAGAAUUCCCGGUGUAGCGGUGAAAUGCGUAGAGAUCGGGAGGAAUACCAGAGGCGAAGGCGGCCUUCUGGACUGACACUGACGCUGAGGUGCGAAAGCGUGGGUAGCAAACAGGAUUAGAUACCCGAGUAGUC
rnacentral:rRNA from 1 species